GAAUCUUCCACAAGAGCGAAAGCAUGAAGGAGCGACACCGCGUGCAGGAAGAAGGCCUUAGGGUUGUAAACUGCUGUCACGCUAUAGGAAACCAUGGGGGUUAACAGCCGUCAUGCUGACUAAAGCGAGAGGAAGCGCCGGCUAACUCCGUGCCAGCAGCCGCGGUAAUACGGAGGGCGCAAGCGUUGUUCGGAUUCACUGGGCAUAAAGGGCACGUAGGCGGCUCAGUAAGUCGGAUGUGAAAUCCCACGGCUCAACCGUGGAACUGCAUUCGAUACUGCUGAGCUCGAGAUCGGAAGGGGUAAGCGGAACUCCAGGUGGAACGGUGAAAUGUGUAGAUAUCUGGAGGAACACCGGUGGCGAAGGCGGCUUACUGGUCCGAUUCUGACGCUGAGGUGCGAAAGCUAGGGUAGCGAACGGGAUUAGAUACCCCGGUAGUCCUAGCCGUA
rnacentral:rRNA from 1 species